UCCAGCUCCAAUAGCGUAUAUUAAAGUUGUUGCGGUAAAAAAGCUCGUAGUUGGAUUUCUGUUGAGGGCGACCGGUCCAUACAAUGUAUGUGUAUCUGGCUCGGCCUCGGCAUCCUCUCGAAGCACGUUACUGCGCUUGAUUGCGUGGUGCGGAUUUCGGGACCUUUACUUUGAGGAAAUUAGAGUGUUCACGGCAGGCUAUCGCCCGAAUACAUUAGCAUGGAAUAAUACUAUAGGAUCUUUGUCCUAUUUUGUUGGUUUCUAGGAUUGAGAUAAUGAUUAAUAGGGACAAUUGGGGGCAUUCGUAUCAACGCGUCAGAGGUGGAAUUCUUGGAUUGCGUUGCGACGAACUACUGCGAAAGCAUUUGCCAAGGAUGUUUUCAUUGAUCAAGAACGAAAGUAAGGGGAUCGAAGACGAUUAGAUACCGUCGUAGUCUUUACCAUAAACUAUGCCAACUAGAGAUGGGACAUCGUUCAUUUACGACUUGUUCCGCACCUUAUGAGAUAUCAAAGUCUUUGGGUUCCGGGGGGAGUACGCUCGCAAGUGUGAAACUUAAAGGAAUUGACGGAAGGGCACCACCAGGAGUGGAGCCUGCGGCUUAAUUUGACUCAACACGGGGAAACUCACCAGGUCCAGACAUAAUAAGGAUUGACAGAUUGAUAGCUCUUUCUUGAUUUUAUGGGUGGUGGUGCAUGGCCGUUCUUAGUUCGUGGAGUGAUUUGUCUGCUUAAUUGCGUUAACGAACGAGACCUUAACCUGCUAAAUAGGAGCGCCUAUCUUCGGAUAAGCGCCUUUCUUCUUAGAGGGACUUUAUGCGUUUCAGCAUGAGGAAGUUUGAGGCUAAAAC
rnacentral:rRNA from 1 species